ensembl:snoRNA SNORD22 Small nucleolar RNA SNORD22
UCCCAGUGAAGUCUUGGACUUCAAUUCCUGUUCUAGCGCCAGAGGUGUGUGAAAACGAACCUACUGGGGCUGGUGGAAGAGAAUAUUUGUUCCAGAAGGAAUUUCCUAAAGGAU